rnacentral:rRNA from 1 species
GUGAGGAAUUUUCCGCAAUGGGCGAAAGCCUGACGGAGCAAUGCCGCGUGAAGGAUGAAGGCCUAUGGGUUGUAACUUCUUUUCUCAGAAAAGAAUUAUGACGGUAUCUGAGGAAUAAGCAUCGGCUAACUCUGUGCCAGCAGCCGCGGUAAGACAGAGGAUGCAAGCGUUAUCCGGAAUGAUUGGGCGUAAAGCGUCUGUAGGUUGUUUAAAAAGUAUUCUGUCAAAGAUUAGGGCUUAACCCUAGAUAGGCAGAAUAAACUUUUAAGCUAGAGUUUGGUAGAGGCAGAGGGAAUUCCCGGUGGAGCGGUGAAAUGCGUAGAUAUCGGGAGGAACACCAAAGGCGAAGGCACUCUGCUGGGCCAAUACUAACACUGAGAGACGAAAGCGAGGGGAGCAAAUGGGAUUAGAAACCCCUGUAGUCC